AGGAUGAACGCUAGCGGCAGGCUUAACACAUGCAAGUCGAGGGGUAUGGUAGCAAUACCAGAGACCGGCAAACGGGUGCGGAACACGUACACAAUCUACCUUUAUCUGGGGCAUAGCCCGGAGAAAUCCGGAUUAACUCCCCAUAAUAUAGUUGAGUGGCAUCAUUUGAUUAUUAAAAAUUCAUUGGAUAGAGAUGAGUGUGCGUCCCAUUAGCUAGUUGGUAGGGUAACGGCCUACCAAGGCGACGAUGGGUAGCUGGUGUGAGAGCACGACCAGCCACACGGGCACUGAGACACGGGCCCGACUCCUACGGGAGGCAGCAGUGAGGAAUAUUGGUCAAUGGACGCAAGUCUGAACCAGCCAUGCCGCGUGAAGGAUGAAGGCCUUCUGGGUUGUAAACUUCUUUUACCUGGGAAGAAACCUCUUUUUUUCUAAGAGAGUUGACGGUACCAGAGGAAUAAGCACCGGCUAACUCCGCGCCAGCAGCCGCGGU
rnacentral:rRNA from 1 species